AUGUUCAAUCCCACGGAUCAGGAGCUGAUCAAGCACCUUGAGGCCAAAGUGAGUGCUGACAGCGCGAGAUCUCACCCUCUCAUCGAUUUGUUCAUACCAACCAUCGACAGCGAGCAUGGCAUAUGCUACACCCAUCCUGAGAAACUUCCAGGUAUCACACUGAGUGGCCUAAGCAAGCAUUUCUUCCAGCGCAAUUCCAGGGCAUUCAAAAGGGGCACGUGGGCGCAUCGCAAGAUACAGUCGGAGUGCGGCAUGCACGCGAUGUGGCACAACACCGGCAAUACCUUGUCGGUGAUGGUCAACGGCCGGCAGACGGGCAGCAAAAAGGUUUUGGUGCUGCACACCAACAAGAACUUUGACCAGCAGAGGACCAACUGGGUGAUGCACCAGUACCACCUCGGGGACCUGGAGCAAGAGAAGGAGAGGGAGCUGGCCCAGCCCAUGACGACAACGGGGCACAAAGAUCCAGCAAGUAUCUACUGGCCUCUGGCCCGCCAGCGUUAG
rnacentral:rRNA from 1 species